rnacentral:snRNA from 1 species
GUGUUCCUCAAGGAUAUCCAAUAAAGUUGAAACAAUAUAAAGAAACUUGUCAUGGACUUUGUACAAGGUUGAAAUGAACAAGAUAAAUAUAUUAAAAUUUA